UGAGUUGGGAUGAAGAAGUUAUCCCAGUUUCAAAUCAGGUGAUUCGAGUUUCGCAGUUUGGGAAUAUGACAGCUUCUUCGUCGUUCCAAUGAAAACAGGAUGAAUCACUUUAUAAGAAGCUUGAUUUGGAUACAUAAAGUGGUGGAGAAUCACCAGGAAAUUGAACAAAUCUCAUAGGAGUUGGGAUGAAGAAGUUAUCCCAGUUUCAAAUCAGGUGAUUCUAGUUUCCCAGCCUAGGAAUAGAACAACUUCUCCGUUGUUCCAAUCAAAACAGGAUGAAUAACUUAAAAAAAAAGCUUGAUUUGGAUAGAUUAAGUGGUGGAGAAUCAGCAGGAAGUUGAAAAAAUCUCAUAGGAGUUGGGAUGAAGAAGUUAUCCCACUUUCAAACCAGGUGAUUCCAGUUUCCCAAUUUGGGAAUAGGACAGCUUUUUCGUCGUUCCAAUCAAAAUAGGAUGAAUCACAUUAUAAGAAGCUUGAUUUGGAUAGAUAAAGUGGUGGAGAAUCACCUGGAAGUUGAAAAAAAUCUCAUAGGAGUUGGGAUGAAGAAGUUAUCCCACUUUUAAAUCAGGUGAUUCCAGUUUCCCAAUUUGGGAGUAGGACAACUUCUUCGUCGUUCCAAUCAAACCAUGAUGAAUGACUUUGUGAGAACCUUGAUUUGGAUAGAUAAAGUGGUGGAAAAUUACCAGGAAGUUGAAUAAGUCUCAUAGGAGUUGGGAUGAAGAAGUUAUCCCAAUUUCAAAUCAGGUGAUUCGAGUUUCACAGUUUGGGAAUAUGACAGCUUCUUCGUCGUUCCAAUCAAACCAGGAUGAAUCACUUUAUAAGAAGCUUGAUUUGGAUACAUAAAGUGGUGGAGAAUAAC